UACGUAGGGUGCGAGCGUUGUCCGGAAUUAUUAGGCGUAAAGAGCUCGUAGGCGGUUUGUUGCGUCGGCCGUGAAAACCUGCAGCUUAACUGUGGGCCUGCGGCCGAUACGGGCAGACUUGAGUUCGGUAGGGGAGACUGGAAUUCCUGGUGUAGCGGUGAAAUGCGCAGAUAUCAGGAGGAACACCGGUGGCGAAGGCGGGUCUCUGGGCCGAAACUGACGCUGAGGAGCGAAAGCGUGGGGAGCAAACAGG
rnacentral:rRNA from 1 species